AGUGAACGCUGGCGGUAGGCCUAACACAUGCAAGUCGAACGGCAGCACAGUAAGAGCUUGCUCUUACGGGUGGCGAGUGGCGGACGGGUGAGGAAUACAUCGGAAUCUACUUUUUCGUGGGGGAUAACGUAGGGAAACUUACGCUAAUACCGCAUACGACCUACGGGUGAAAGCAGGGGAUCUUCGGACCUUGCGCGAUUGAAUGAGCCGAUGUCGGAUUAGCUAGUUGGCGGGGUAAAGGCCCACCAAGGCGACGAUCCGUAGCUGGUCUGAGAGGAUGAUCAGCCACACUGGAACUGAGACACGGUCCAGACUCCUACGGGAGGCAGCAGUGGGGAAUAUUGGACAAUGGGCGCAAGCCUGAUCCAGCCAUACCGCGUGGGUGAAGAAGGCCUUCGGGUUGUAAAGCCCUUUUGCUGGGAAAGAAAAGCAGCAGGUUAAUACCCCGCUGUUCUGACGGUACCCAAUGAAUAAGCACCGGCUAACUUCGUG
rnacentral:rRNA from 1 species